UACGUAGGGGCGAGCGUUAUCCGGAAUUAUUGGGCGUAAAGGGUUCGCAGGCGGCCUUGUAAGUCAGAUGUGAAAGACAGCGGGUUAACCGUUGUAAGCAUUUGAAACUGCAGGGCUUGAGUACAGGAGAGGAAAGCGGAAUUCCUAGUGUAGCGGUGAAAUGCGUAGAUAUUAGGAGGAACACCAGUGGCGAAGGCGGCUUUCUGGACUGAUACUGACGCUGAGGAACGAAAGCGUGGGGAGCAAACAGGAUUAGAUACCCUGGUAGUCCCUGA
rnacentral:rRNA from 1 species